UGGUCAUAUUUGUGUUAGAAGUCAAAGC
rnacentral:piRNA from 1 species